rnacentral:rRNA from 1 species
AUUGAACGCUGGCGGCAGGCCUAACACAUGCAAGUCGAACGAGUGGCGGACGGGUGAGUAAUGUCUGGGAAACUGCCUGAUGGAGGGGGAUAACUACUGGAAACGGUAGCUAAUACCGCAUACCAUCGGAUGUGCCCAUAUGGGAUUAGCUAGUAGGGGGGGUAAAGGCUCACCUAGGCGACGAUCCCUAGCUGGUCUGAGAGGAUGACCAGCCACACUGGGACUGAGACACGGUCCAGACGCCUACGGGAGGCAGCAGUGGGGAAUAUUGCACAAUGGGCGCAAGCCUGAUGCAGCCAUGCCGCGUGUAUGAAGAAGGCCUUCGGGUUGUAAAGUACUUUCAGCGGGGAGGCGUUACCCGCAGAAGAAGCACCGGCUAACUCCGUGCCAGCCGCCGCGGUAAUAC